CCGAGUUGAUUAUGCCAGUAUCAUAUGCUUGUCUCAAAGAUUAAGCCAUGCAUGUGUAAGUAUGAACUAAUUCAGAAUGUGAAACUGCGAAUGGCUCAAUAAAUCAAUUGUAGUUUGUUUGAUGGUACCCGCUACUCGGAUAAUCGUAGUAAUUCUAGAGCUAAUUUGUGCCACAAACCCCGACUUCAGGAAGGGUAUUAAAUAAAAGGUCAAUGUAGGCUUUGCUCAUUGCUUUGGUGAUUCAUGAUAACUUGACGGAUUGCAUGGCCCUCGUGUCAGUGACUCAUCAUUCAAGUUUCUACCCUAUCAACUUUUGAUGGUAGGAUAGUGGCCUACUAUGGUGGUGACCGGUGAUGGAGAAUUAGGGUUUGAUUCCGCAGAGGGACCCUGAGAAACGACUACCACAUCCAAGGAAGGCAGCAUGCGCGCAAAUAACCCAAUCCUGAUACGGGGAGGCAGUGACAAUAAAAAACAAUACCAGGCUCUAUGAGGCUGGUAAUUGGAAUGGAUACAAUCUAAAUCCCUUAAUGAGGAUCCGUCGGAGGGCAAGUUUGGUGCUAGUAGACGCAGUAAUUCCAGAGCCAAUAACUUAUAUUUAAGUUGUUGACUUUGGGCUUGGCCUGCCGGUCCGCCCUUGGGUGUGUAUCGGUCAUCCCGUCCCUUCUACCGGUGAUGCGCUCAUAGUCUUAAUUGAUCGGGUGCCUCCGGUGCUAUUACUUUGAAGAAAUUAGAGUGCUCAAAGCAAGCCCAAGUUUUGGAUACAUUAGCAUGGGCUAACAUCAUAGGAUUUCGGUCCUAUUGCGUUGGCCUUCAGGAUAAGAGUAAUGAUUAACAGGGACAGUCGAGGGUAUUCGUAUUUCAUAGUUAAAGGUGAAAUUCUUGGAUUUAUGAAAGACAAACUACUCUGAAAGCAUUUGAUAAGGAUGUUUUCAUUAAUCAAGAACGAAAGUUGGGGGCUCGAAGACGAUCAAACACCGUCCUAGUCUCAACCAUAAACUAUGCCGACCAGGGAUCGGUGGAUGUUGCUUAUAGGAUUCCGCAGUCAUUUUAUGAGAAAUCAAAGUUUUUUCGUUCCGGGGGGAGUAUGGUCACAAUGCUGACACUAAAAGGAAUUGACGGAAGGUCACCACCAGGAGUGUAGCUUGUGGCUUAAUUUGACUUAACACGGGGAAACUUACGAGGUCCAGACAUAGUGAGGAUUGACAGACUUAGAGCUCUUUCUUGAUUCUAUGGGUGGUGGUGCGUGGCCAUUUUUAGUUGGUGGAGCAAUUUUUUUGGUUAAUUCCGUUAACGAAUGAGAUCUCAGUCUGCUAACUAGCUAGGUGGAGGUGGCCUUCCAUUGCUAGCUUCUUAGAUAGACUAUGGCCGUUUAGGCCACAGAAGUUUGAGGCAAUAACGGGUCUGUGAUUCCCUUAGAUGUUCUCGGCCGCACGCACGCUACACAGAUGUAUUCAACGAGUCUAUAGCCUUGGCCAACAGACCCAUGUAAUCUUUGAAAAUUUCAUCGUGAUGGCGAUAAAUCAUUUCAAUUGUUGGUGUUCAACGAGGAAUUCCUAGUAAUCACGAGUCAUCAGUUCACGUUGACUACAUCCCUGCCUUUUGUACACGCCGCCCGUCAGUCCUACCGAUUGAAUGGUUCGGUGUAGUGUUCGGAUCUCGAUGAGAUGGGUGGUUUGUCGCCGAUGACGUCGCAAGAAGUCUACUAAACCUUAUCCUUUAGAGGAAGGAGAAGUCGUAAAAAGGUUUCCGUAGGUGAACUUGCAGAAG
rnacentral:rRNA from 1 species